GGACAUGCACCUUUAACGUUGGUUUGCCAAUCUCGAGAAAAGAAGAAGAAGAAGAAGAACUAGCAGCGCGCCGGAAAACUACAAUUCCCACAAUCCGCUAUUCACAGGAAGUAAUGUAUUCGUAGGCUUUUCGUCUUGUAAUCUUCAUAUUUUGUAGUCCCUGUUCGGCAAGAAAGUAAAAGCAGCCCGCUAUGGAGAGAUGCAGGUUGGACGUGUCUGCACAUGUGUUGUUAUGAUUCAGGUACGAAGGAUGUGCAAAAUCACCAAAGUCACCAAGUCAAAACCAUGAAUAAAACAGCAAAGUCUACUUGUGAUUCUGACCGACAGAGUAAAAAAGUCAAAACGAGUCAUGGACCGACACAGGGCACUCAAGGUAAGAAAGCAGAUGUGAAGGGCUGGGCAGCUGGAAAAGAUGCUUGUUCUCCUGGACCUGAGAGAAGCUCUGAGUCUUCCCACACUAUGCAAAAACGUGCUCCGAAGGAGGCCAGAUCUACUCAUAGUGACAGUCACUCAUCCCAGCAGCAUCUGAUGAAGACGCCGUCUGCUGAAGAUGAAAAGGGUGAUGUGGACCUGUACAGAGGUGAAGAGGAAAUUCAAAAAGAGCUGCAAGACAAGCAGCAGUCAGAGUCAGGUAGCGCUCAGUUUUUGAAGAAUGUUGAGUGUGUAUUGAAAUGUUGUAAGAGAUUUCUGUGA
rnacentral:lncRNA from 1 species